AUGAACCGGGAUCAUAUAAUAUAAGUCUCCCUUUUGUCUUGUCUUUUGCUUUUAAGAAAACAAAUGAUUCAUCCAAGGGACCUAUCUUAAAUGCUUUUGAGAUAUACAAGUAUAUGGAGAUAAAUUAUGGAUCCCUAGACGCACUGACCAUGGAAAGCUUUGUAUCACAUUACCCAAAAGAAGUUUGGGCACAAGAAGGUGGAGAUCCAUGCUUACCAGCUCCAUGGUCAUUGGUUCAAUGUAAUUCAGAUCCGCAACCACAAAUUGUUUCAAUUAGACUAUCAGGGAGAAAUUUGACGGGGAAUAUACCUGCAGAGCUUGCUAG